UCUCAGUGCUGAGACUUGACAUGGUAC
rnacentral:piRNA from 1 species